rnacentral:tRNA from 1 species
GGCGCAGUGGCGGAGUGGUCUAUCGCGCAAGACUAGAAAUCUUGUUCCCUCGGGAGCGUCUGUUCGAAUCAGGCCUGCGUCG